rnacentral:rRNA from 1 species
CUACGUAGGGGGCGAGCGUUGUCCGGAAUGAUUGGGCGUAAAGGGCGCGUAGGCGGCCCGGUAAGUCUGGAGUGAAAGUCCUGUUUUUAAGAUGGGAAUUGCUUUGGAUACUGUCGGGCUUGAGUGCAGGAGAGGGAAGUGGAAUUCCCAGUGUAGCGGUGAAAGGCGUAGAGAUUGGGAGGAACACCAGUGGCGAAGGCGACUUACUGGGCCGUAACUGACGCUGAGGCGCGAAAGCGUGGGGAGCGAACAGGGUUAGAUACCCUGGUAGUCCACGCGGUAAACGAUGAAUGCUAGGUGUUGCGGGUAUCGACCCCUGCAGUGCCGGAGUAAACACAAUAAGCAUUCCGCCUGGGGAGUACGGCCGCAAGGUUGAAACUCAAAGGAAUUGACGGGG